GCUGCGAUGCGGCACAGGAAAACCGCUUUCACCGUCUCUGGUACGAGAGGCCACCAUUGAUCGAUCGACCGAAUGUAAAUUAUGGACGAUGUUCCAUGCAGUACAGUAACGCUUGGGCUAAAUGAGGUCCCUGACCCUCCGACAAAUUGCCGCCGGAAAUCAAUAGUCUCGGACGAUGAAUACCCUUAGUGUGCUUCAUUCUAUGGAAAAAGUACAAUGUAUGAAUAAUUGAAAAAGAGAAAUGGAAGUAGUUUUAUGAAAAAUUUAUCAAGAAUUUCACCAUCAUUGUACCAAGUAGUAAAACCGGAGGCCCUAAUAACGGUUCCAUGAAGAGCUGUAGCUUUCUCCCUGCACACGGAGCUACUCUGUGCGAUGACGGAACGAGCAUAGAACUCGCUUGCGUUCUUCUCAAUCCUUGCAGCACUGCUUCGGUGCAGAGGGCUCUCAAGUCCGAACCGCAAUAACCGGUCGCCUUCUCCGCUAGUAGUUCCA